UAGGGAAUAUUGGUCAAUGGACGGAAGUCUGAACCAGCCAUGCCGCGUGCAGGAAGAAGGCGCUCAGCGUUGUAAACUGCUUUUGAGAGGGAAGAAAGUGCAGGAUGCGUCCUGUUUUGCCGGUACCUUUCGAAUAAGCACCGGCUAACUCCGUGCCAGCAGCCGCGGUAAUACGGAGGGUGCAAGCGUUGUCCGGAUUUAUUGGGUUUAAAGGGUGCGUAGGUGGUUCAGUAAGUCUGGUUUGAAAGUCAGCCGCUUAACGGUUGAGGGUGGCUGGAUACUGCUGAACUUGAAUUUUCCGGAGGCAGGCGGAACGGGUUGUGUAGCGGUGAAAUGCAUAGAUAUGACCCAGAACACCGAUUGCGAAGGCAGCCUGCUACGGAUGGAUUGACACUGAGGC
rnacentral:rRNA from 1 species